AACGAACGCUGGCGGCAUGCCUAACACAUGCAAGUCGAACGAGACCUUCGGGUCUAGUGGCGCACGGGUGCGUAACGCGUGGGAACCUGCCCUUAGGUUCGGAAUAACUCCCCGAAAGGGGUGCUAAUACCGUAUAAUGUCUUCGGACCAAAGAUUUAUCGCCUUUGGAUGGGCCUGCGUUGGAUUAGCUAGUUGGUAGGGUAAAAGCCUACCAAGGCGACGAUCCAUAGCUGGUCUGAGAGGAUGAUCAGCCACACUGGGACUGAGACACGGCCCAGACUCCUACGGGAGGCAGCAGUGGGGAAUAUUGGACAAUGGGCGAAAGCCUGAUCCAGCAAUGCCGCGUGAGUGAUGAAGGCCUUAGGGUUGUAAAGCUCUUUUACCCGGGAUGAUAAUGACAGUACCGGGAGAAUAAGCUCCGGCUAACUCCGUG
rnacentral:rRNA from 1 species